rnacentral:rRNA from 1 species
GUGCCAGCAGCCGCGGUAACACCGGCAGCCCGAGUGAUGGCCGAUAUUAUUGGGCCUAAAGCGUCCGUAGCUGGCCGCGCAAGUUCGUCGGGAAAUCCACUCGCUUAACGAGUGGGCGUCCGGCGAAAACUGUGCGGCUUGGAACCGGAAGGCUCAGAGGGUACGUCCGGGGUAGGAGUGAAAUCCUGUAAUCCUGGACGGACCGCCGAUGGCGAAAGCACUUCGAGAAAACGGAUCCGACAGUGAGGGACGAAAGCCAGGGUCUCCAACCGGAUUAGAAACCCGGGUAGUCC